rnacentral:rRNA from 1 species
CAGUAGCCGCGGGAAUACGGAGGGUGCAAGCGUUAAUUGGAAUUACUGGGCGUAAAGCGCACGCAGGCGGUCUGACAAGUCAGAUGUGAAAUCCCCGGGCUUAACCUGGGAACUGCAUUUGAAACUGUCAGGCUGGAGUCUUGUAGAGGGGGGUGGAAUUCCAGGUGUAGCGGUGAAAUGCGUAGAGAUCUGGAGGAAUACCGGUGGCGAAGGCGGCCCCCUGGACAAAGACUGACGCUCAGGUGCGAAAGCGUGGGGAGCAAACAGGAUUAGAUACCCCUGUAGUCCCUGUCUCUUAUAC